AAUCAUUAAAAUAAUUAAAAAAUAUAUAUUUAAAAUAUUUAUAUAAUGUUAACAUAUUUAAUAUUUGUUAAAUAUUGAUGUAUUUUCCUUUUUGUUUGCAGGUUGUCUGUACUUUGAGAGAAUUCAAUAAGUACAGGCAAUAUCUUACCAGUUUAAAAUUAGACUUUGAAAGAAACUAUAUAAGAGAUCAAAAACAACACCUUCUAAAGAAAAAAAUGGCUUAUCAUUUAUAAAAAUGCAAGAUACUGGCUUUAAAGGAAAAUAUAUGGGGAAAAAUACAUUGAAGUACAAAGGUCAAGAUGGAACACAUGGUGAAUCUUCUCCAAAGAAUAAAAGGAAGACUUCUGAAGAUAUCAUAUUAAUUUAUCCUGCUGGAGACCAGAAUACAUAUGAAGAAAUAUCUGGAAAUACAUCAGCUGCUGCUCAUCAGAAUCAAAAUCGUCCAGAGAAUUUUAUGAAAAAAUCCUCAACUUCUGUUGUUCAGGCAAAUGUGCAGGAUAAUGGUAUAAAUCAAAAGGUACAAAAUUAUGCUUUAAAGUUUGGUGUUGUGUUUAUUAAUUUAUCUACUUAA
rnacentral:lncRNA from 1 species